rnacentral:lncRNA from 1 species
AACAUACAAUGUAAUUUCUCUCUUUCUUCAAGGAAUGUCAAUGAUAAAACUCCCAGGCAAAGUCCAUUUCUAGUUUAGAACUGUAAAAUGUGCUUACAAGUACACAAACACACAGAGCAAGUACAAGAUGGUAAAAUUUUAGUGCUUAAUUCUAUUGAGGAGGAAACUUUAAGACAGGAGAGGGUAGACUUGAGAAAAUACUACGUGGACAGUCUCCCAUUUUAGCUAUACAGAUGAUGGAAGCAAUCUAACACCUCAAAGGAUAGAGGUUAACAGCAGCAGACCCAAGAAAGAGCUUGAACCUAACUCAGGAGAAUAAACUUCUGAAGUACAGAGACCAUAUCUUCUAUUUUUCUUCCCCAAGAGUCUUGGCUCAGGUAAGCCCUUGAGAAACACUGACUGUUUUCAGUAGAAAGACAACACGAUACUUUCCUUGCAAACAGACAUGUUCUCAGCAAGAGUUGCUCCUAAAAUCAAGACCAAGUCCUGCAUGUAGCUUUGCUCUGUAUUUCCUAGUUCAAACAUGAGACUAAAAGCAGAUUGGAAGUUUAGAAAGAUGAAUCCAAUAACCUGGCCCAUGGGAAAACACAAGAUAAUAAAUCAUAAGAUGUGGCUCUAAUCACUCUUUGAGCUUCAUGUGACCACCCUCAGUACAAUAAGCAGGCCACUUAGCCUCUGAGCCUUAAAGGCCCAUAACCUAAGCCAUCUCCCCACUGGAGGGAUGUUUAAGUAUCAAAGGAGAUUGAUGCUAUGCCUGCUGUAUAUCUUCACCUAGCACUCCCACAAACAUCUCAACUUAACAUGCCCAAAGGGACCUGCCAUC